AAUCCAUGAUGCGGACACUGCCUAAGAAGGUCCUUGAAUCAUUCACAUGCCUUGAAUAGUGUUUUUGAUUCUCCUUGCUUAAAUGCUGAGAUCUCCUACCUGAUCUU